CGUACACUCCUGCGGGAGGCAGCAGUGGGGAAUAUUGCACAAUGGGCGCAAGCCUGAUGCAGCCAUGCCGCGUGUAUGAAGAAGGCCUUCGGGUUGUAAAGUACUUUCAGCGGGGAGGAAGGCGAUAAGGUUAAUAACCUUGUUGAUUGACGUUACCCGCAGAAGAAGCACCGGCUAACUCCGUGCCAGCAGCCGCGGUAAUACGGAGGGUGCAAGCGUUAAUCGGAAUUACUGGGCGUAAAGCGCACGCAGGCGGUCUGUCAAGUCGGAUGUGAAAUCCCCGGGCUCAACCUGGGAACUGCAUUCGAAACUGGCAGGCUAGAGUCUUGUAGAGGGGGGUAGAAUUCCAGGUGUAGCGGUGAAAUGCGUAGAGAUCUGGAGGAAUACCGGUGGCGAAGGCGGCCCCCUGGACAAAGACUGACGCUCAGGUGCGAAAGCGUGGGGAGCAAACAGGAUUAGAAACCCUAGUAGUCCCAUGA
rnacentral:rRNA from 1 species